AUCUGUUCUAUCAGUUUAAUAUCUGAUACGUCCCCUACCGGGACCAUAUAUUAAAUUGAUUUUGGAGCAGGGAGAUGGAAUAGGGCUUGCUCCGUCCACUCCACGCAUCGACCUGGUAUUGCAGUAUUUCUAGGAACGGUGC
rnacentral:snRNA from 1 species